rnacentral:tRNA from 1 species
GGGCCCGUAGCUCAGCUUGGAUAGAGCGCUUCCCUCCUAAGGAAGAAGUCGAGGGUUCGAAUCCCCCCGGGCUCG